UACGGGGGGGGCAAGCGUUGUUCGGAAUUACUGGGCGUAAAGGGCUCGUAGGCGGCCAACUAAGUCGGAUGUGAAAUCCCCAGGCUUAACUUGGGAACUGCAUCCGAUACUGGAUGGCUUGAAUCCGGGAGAGGGAUGCGGAAUUCCAGGUGUAGCGGUGAAAUGCGUAGAUAUCUGGAGGAACACCGGUGGCGAAGGCGGCUCACUGGCUCGGUACUGACGCUGAGGUGCGAAAGCGUGGGGAGCAAACAGG
rnacentral:rRNA from 1 species